UACGUAGGGAGCGAGCGUUGUCCGAAGUUACUGGGCGUAAAGCGCGCGUAGGCGGGCUGUUAAGUGAGAGGUGAAAGGCUGGGGCUUAACCCCAUGCAGUGCCUCUCAUACUGGCGGUCUUGAGUGCGGCAGGGAGAAGUGGAAUGGCUGGUGUAGCGGUGAAAUGCGUAGAGAUCAUGAGGAAGACCAGUGGCGAAGGCGGGUCUCUGGACAGUUCCUGACACUGAGGCACGAAGGCCAGGGGAGCAAACGGG
rnacentral:rRNA from 1 species